rnacentral:pre_miRNA from 1 species
AUUAUACUCCCUCCGUCCGAAAAUACUUGUCAUCAAAAUGGACAAAAAGGGAUGUAUCUAAAACUAAAAUACAUCUAGAUACAUCCCUUUUAUCCAUUUUGAUGACAAGUAUUUCUGGAUGGAGGGAGUAUAUA